rnacentral:rRNA from 1 species
GACGAACGCUGGCGGCGUGCCUAAUACAUGCAAGUCGAACGCAGUGGGGACGGGUGAGUAACACGUGGGUAACCUCCCAUCAGAGGGGAUAACACUUGGAAACAGGUGCUAAACCGAUACUGAUGGAUGGACCCGCGGUGCAUUAGCUAGUUGGGGGGGUAACGGCGCACCAAGGCCACGAUGCAUAGCCGACCUGAGGGGGUGAUGGGCCAAACUGGAACUGAGACACGGCCAAGACCCCUACGGGAGGAAGCAGUGGGGAAUCUUCGGCAAGGACCGAAAGUCUGACCGAGCAACGCCGCGGGAGUGAAGAAGGUUUUCGGAUCGUAAAACUCUGUUGUUGGGGAGGCGGUAUCUAAACAGAAAGCCACGGCUAACUACGUGCCAGCAGCCGCGGUAAUAC